GCCUACGGCCAUACCACCCUGAGAACACCCGAUCUCCUCUGAUGUCAGAAGCUAAGCAGGAUUGGGCUCAGUUAGUACUUGGGUGGGAGACUGCCUGGGAAUCCCAGGCGCUGUAGGGU
rnacentral:rRNA from 1 species